UCCUAGCCCUGAUGGGAACGGCAUCCUGUGGCUCCGGGGUUCGGAGACACAGAUACAGUGGACAGCAGGGAGCAGC
rnacentral:sRNA from 1 species